GUCGAUAUGUCCGAGUGGUUAAGGAGGUAGACUCGAAAUCUACUGGGCUGUGCCCGCGCAGGUUCAAAUCCUGCUGUCGACG
rnacentral:tRNA from 1 species